AGUGUGGAAAGACUUCGAUACAAAGCAUCUGCACUUUGUGAGUGACCCGCGCAAUAUCUGGCUUGGUCUAGCGAUGGAUGGAUUUAAUCUCUUUAGCAAUUUGAGUACUUCCUACAGUAUAUGACCUGUGCUGCUAGUUGUAUAUAAUAUAUCACCUUGAAAGUGUAUGAAAGAACCAUUUAUUUUUAUGUCACUGUUGAUUCCA
rnacentral:lncRNA from 1 species